rnacentral:lncRNA from 1 species
CGACUGAGGAAGGUGCCUGCGUCGGCCGCCAGCUUCUUCACGUUGAAGUCCAUGAUAUUCAUCCUAGGCGGCAGCCGGGCGGAGCCGGCCGACCUAGCGGCGGCGAGGCGGAGGUGCCGCGGCCGGGCUGGGGCGCAGGGCUAGAGCGGCGAGGGCAGACGUGGUAGGUGGAGGGAGGCGGCGCCAGCCCCGCAGCCGCAGCUGUCGUUUCCGUGAACGGGGAGGAUGAAGGCGGGGCGAGGGAGGAGAACAAGCGCGCGGCGGCAGCGCCAAGGAUGGGUCAGUCGGCUCGGAGAACGGCCGCUAACGUCGACGAUGGGCCCCGCGGGCGAGCCGGAGAUGGACGGGCGACCCCGCCGUGUGGACCCGGGUCCCAAGGGAAAAACAAGCGCGGGCCGCGGGGCGGAGCCUUUCUCGAGGUUAUCGCGGGAACAGCGACCCCUUGAGGAUUGCGGCGGCGCAGCCCCGGGGCGCGCCGGGAGCUCCGCCCGGCUCCUGUGGAGGAAGCGGCGAGGGCGAGCCGCGGGGUCUCGGCGCCUCUGUAUGCUUGCACUUAACGAGAACCCAGAGCGAACACGACCCACAUUUCUCUUUUUGUUUUAAGAGGAAAUAUAGGAGUUACAGCAUAGAAUUACAAUAUCUGGACAUUAGAAAUAACAGGUCCCGGUCACGGUAUGGCACCGCGCGACACACUUGGUCCCUGAGGCCUGGAUGCCGCUCAGCAAACGUUCGCGGAAUAGGGUUGGGUUUACUGUCCCCCACCGAGCCGGUUGCUCAUUCAUUCAGCAUAAUUGAAUACCUCCUGUGUGCCAGGCACUGAAUCAAGUGUCGGAGACAAUGUCCUGCCCUCAAGCUCCUGGCCGGUUACUUGACAACCUUCCGGGACCUCAACGCUAUGUGCCUACUGUGUGAAAGCAAAGUGCCAGGUGGAGGACACAAAGAUGGCGAGCGACACAGGAUAGUCCUUAACAAUUAAGCGUGACUAAUUUUAAUAACAAAUGAGAAUAUGAUGUGACAUCCGUUCCAAAUCCUGUCGUUCCAAGUAACUUCUUAAGCAUCUUUCACGAUACAGCCUCUGCUUGAAAGGAAUUAAAACAGGUACAAGCAUGGAAGGAGACGUUGCUAUCAUAUUUCAAGAAUAAGAAAAUGCUGUUUUGUGUGGUUGUGCAGCAGGCAAUGAAAUGAGCUUACAUUCAAGCUUCCGUGUUUUACUGAAACAACAGUCACAGAUGCAGUAGAUGUUAAAGGUUGAAAGACGAGUGCAGUAAAAGCAUUAUGAGGACAAGAAGAAAACGUAAAUAUUUGUGUUGUUUCAUUCUUUGUUGUGGUGGCAGAAACAGCCCCCUCUUUCUAAGAGUAAGGAAGGACUGAAAGGAGGAGAAACUAUGGGUUGCCUUUUCCUUCUGUCAUCUGUUCAGCGUAAGUGGUUGGCAGCUUUAAAAAACCAUUUACUUUGUACUCUCAUUGGUCUUCUGGAAUUCACUACUCAUAGAUGUAUUGAAAACACUAUAUAUGAAUGGGGCCUCAAGGAACAGCAGCAGACAUGUGUCUGUAAGUGCUGAUGUAUAAAGAUUUCCAAGAUACCAUAUUAAUAAAAAAAGUGUAUGGAACAGUGUAUGGGUAAUUGAGUGUAAAUAAAAAGGAAUAUGUGUUAUAUAUAUAUGUAAGUACUUUGUAUAUGCAUAACUUGUAAAAUAAAAAUAAUUUUAAGAAACUACAUAUAGCAGUUACCUUUGGGGAGAAGGUAUGGGGUAAGGAGCGGGA